CCCCUUGAUGACGAAGAGAUGGUGGGCUAUGUGCUCGCCAGCCUCAACGACGACUACGAACCGGUGGUCUCCAGUUUGGUAGGAAAGAGUGAAUCGGUUCCAAUCUCUGAAGUUUACUCACAGCUCCUGAGUUUUGAGU
rnacentral:snoRNA from 1 species